CUGCCUGAGUCUUCUGAUCUUAGCAAUGCCGUGUUGAAGAAGUUGCUGCAUUUCCACCCUGCUUGCUACAGUGAAACACCAUGAGCUCAGGGUUUACAGAAAGCAGACCCUAAAACCAGGCUUGGCCAAAUUAUUAUAUCGUUGUAGGUGAACGUUUGGUGCCAAUGCAUUGUCCCUCUGAACGCCUUUAUUUCCACCGUCCUCUUGAUCAGACACCCUCAGCGUCCGCUCUGACUUCCCACUCCCUGCCAUUGUACUGUAUCCACUGUAUUCAUUAUUACUCUGAGAUGUGUGCUUUUUCUUCCCACAACAGAGGCUGUACUGCCUGCUCAGGAUGCACUGAGACCUAACUCUGGCUUUUGAUGUGGAGGCAAAAAAGGGGGUGGGAGUGUAUCUUGCAAGGUGCCUUUCACCUGACGGCCUUGUGUGGUGUCAUGGAAGGAGGGGAGUUUUUCCUCUGGCGAGGAGGAAGGAGAUGCUUCUGCCGUGUUGAGCAGUCUAGAGGAGCUGUGGUCUCUAAGAUUCCAGUUUCUUCCCUCCAAGCACUUUACCCCAGAUCAGAGGAUUCAACAUCUUCCCUACCAGAAUCCUGGCUUCCACAUAGGAAAUCAAUGGAGCUUGUGUACUUAGUGCUCUGCCAUUCUUAGCUCUUAUAAUCUUAUCCUAAGCCCAAAUCUCAGUUCAGUCUCCAUGAUUGCAGGAAAAGAUAAUCUCCUUUAAUCCUCUAGAGAGGCCUCCUGGCUUUUAGUGGUGUGGCUUGGCUACUGGUUGCCUUGAACUUGUCACUUCCAUUUUACAAAAGUACCAUUUCUUUUUUUAAAAAAUUCAUUAAUUUUAUUGGUACAUUUUAGGAUUACAGUAUGCUGACAUUCAUUAUUGGGAAUUUGUACCUGUAUACAGUAUAUCUUGGGCCUUAUUCCUCCGCAUUGCCCUACCUCCCUUUAACCCCUCCACCCCUCCCUAUUUACAAAGGCUUUGUUUCCAUAUUCUCCUUUUUUUGUAUUUAUGAAAAUACCAUUUCUGUCAGCAGCUCCACACACAAUUCUAGUUCUCAUUGCUCCUUACUAGUCAAGUGUUGUAGUCACUUGCUCUUGCAAUGUAUUAUUGUUGCCUGCAUUUCAUCUCCUUUAACCACUGAUGAGUCUCAGUGAUGUCACUACAUACCACCAUGCUUAUCACCAACAACAGGAUCCCUCGCUUUUUUCACACAGGUGGAAAAUCUAACUGUAGAUCCCAUCCAAUGCUCUUCUUCUAGGACCAUUUCUGAUACCAACUGUCUUACUGUGCAUUGCCUGGAACAUUGGUUCUCAAAGAAUAAUCUGUGAACCAGUAAUAUCAGCAUUACCUAGGAACUUAUUAGAAAUGUAAAUUCUUGGAGUCUAUCCCAGAUCUACUAAAUCAGAAACUCUGGAGGUGGACCUCGCAGUCUUGUAAAAAGUUUGAAAACCACUACCCUAGAAAAUAGAAUAUGAGGCCAAGUGUGUGUGCUAAUGCUUCAUUUGUAAACUUAGGGCAGAGAUAGGCACCAGAUGUGCAUUAUCAAGAUGUCCAUGAUUUCAAGAGAAAAGAUCAUCACUUGCUUGACCAAUCUGUACAGUGCACUAGGGAUAGAAACCGAAAACUUGCCGGGAAAGAUAUGGAUGCUGCAUAAAGCACUAAAAAUUUUGAUGAAGAAAAAAAGCAUAUGAAAAAGAAAUGUUUCUCACAAGAGAGGCCAUGGGCUGACUUCAACAAUUCCAUGACCUCCCAGGCAAAUUCACCGUCCUCCCACCCAAAAGAUAACUGCAUCAGGAAAUUAUAAAUUAAGAGCAUUAUUCUUCUCAGAGGGACAAGUUAGAGUCUCCUCAAGUCACUACUCCCAGCUUCAAACUCCAGAAAACCAGGAUCUCCAGGAGUUAGAACCUGUACUUUAAACCUGGAAUUCUACACUCGCUCUUCCUCUUCAAAUGCUACUAAUGUAGAAAGUCUGGAAAUAUUAUACCUGAAGUACGAUGCUGGACCCAGGAACAACACUUUCUUCCAAAGAGUCAAAUUUAUUUUUUUAUGCCACUUAUGCCAGCAAAUUUCUGUGUCCCACCUUGAAACUAGGCCUCUACCAAGUCUUUGUUCUCUAUCUGACAAAUGUAUGAAUGUGUGUGAAUAUCAAAUAUAUAAACACCAUUAAACUUUCUCACCAGACUUCUAGGUUACCUGCAAAUUAAAACCCAGCUGUAUAAAUUGGUCAUUUGAGGUGUGUCCUUUGAUCCAUUGACUUUGCCUGGGAUGGCUAUGUGUCUAAAUGAUAAUAAGCAUAUGUAUGGAGAGAGAGUGGGGGGAUGUCAAAUAAAUAUCAUGAGAUGGCUGGUAGAAGAAACUCCAAAAGUUGCUAAGAAAGGACACCCAAAAGUCAGGGCAAACAAGAGGUUUAAGGAGAGACGACAACAACAAAAAGACAGCUA